GUUAUGUAUCAGCAGGUAAACACAAGCUCUUUUCAGGCCUGCUGAAUAAAAUGAAAGAGAAAUAAUUUGUGCUCAGCAAGGCUUGGUGAAGGGGAAUAGUCAACGUUUUGACUUACUUCCCACCUUCCUCAGAAACAUUUGGGAAAAGAAGACUUCGGAAGCAAAGCUUUCAGUCCGUUAGUUUAUUAACACCCAAUAACGAUUCAUCGCACUAAUGCAAGCAACAUAAAGAAAAUACAACAUUAAACACAGCAAAAUAUCAAAUGCUCAGCGGAUCAAAUGCCGCCACAAAUGUGUUUCAAUCAUCAUUUUCCACAUUUUUUUAAUUUUAUUUUUUUAUUAUUAAUUAUUUAUUUGUAUAACAUGUUUGCAGCACCUUUUUAAGUAUCGUAGAUCUGUGCAAAUUUCUCAUCUGUCGGUUUCUAUCUAAACAGGCUGUAAAACACACAGGACCGGAGCCCGGGCCGCACUCCCGCUCUCAUGGUAUUUGUGUGAAUUUAACAGAGUCGUCGCCUCUGUCACCAGGAAGCGUAAUCAUUUGGCAAUGCAGUUAAUACUGAUAACACCCAGCAGCCAUUUUAAAAUAAAAAAAUAAAAAUGGCUUCUCACUGCAAUAGUGUUUGCUAGAAAGUCCUAAUUUCUCAACAAUUCCUUACUUUCUGCUAUUAAAAAAAUUAAAACAAAAUAAAUUCCCCAAACCAUUAAAACAAUAACAAAUGCCCUUCUAUUCCCCAGAUAUUUUUACUAUGGCUAAUGUUGCAGCAUACGAUACGAACACGCAGGACUGCCUCUCAAAAUCUACAGUUUUGGUUUCUAUAUGUCUGUUUAGAGGGUUACCUUAAUAAAACACUGUUUUUGGUGGAAGCAAGUCUUGCCUGGUUGAAAUAAACAGUUGAAAUUACCUGCGAUCCGAUGCCGAGGCCAAGUUCUCCCUGCAGCCCACCUCCAUUGGCGCAAAUCCUUCUGACUGCAGGGGAAGGGCAUCCCGGAGGACAGGCUGAGGGGACGACUAGGGCAGCAUCGGUGGGAGGGUUGUGCCACUAUUGGUUGCCUGUGGCUAGCAAGUUGUUCUAUUGGUGGGCUGGGUAAUGACGCUAGCUCUCUCUAUAUGCAAUAACGUUUACUGAAGAAUGCACGCAUAAGCUUCCAAGAACCAUGACUACUUAACACUGGUAACUGGUGCAACUCUUUAACCGAAUGGUUUAUUUAUCAAACCUCAAACUGAGGAAACUUGACAAAGGAAUUUGUGGACAGUAUAAGUGAACGUUUUUCAAAUUAAGGCAUUUUCCCCCCAACUGAGCUAUUCUGGCAAACCCGGUUAAGUGAAUAAAAAUCUGUCUGGGUUCAGAAUAUAAAACAUAUUAACCCCCACCUAACUUAACAUGACCAGAAUGCCACAACUAAGAUCGAACCUGCUUAACAAAAAUAUAUAUUGUAAAAACCUUCAGUUCUUGAUAAACGCUACCAGAUAUGUUGAUUUAAAUCAAUUCACAGCGUUUGCUGGCACAAAGUUCCCUAUGUAGGCUGUGGGUGACUAAUUAUUAGUAUAUGCCAGUGGCGUGGUAUGUAAAUUACGUGGAGACUGAAUCUAAGACUUAACUAAAUAACAGGAUUCACUGAAUACCGAGUAUCACCAAUGGUAUCUCCUAUUCUGAGACACAAAUUGCUCAGAACUGGAACGCUACCUGAAAAUAUAAGGUCAUAUUUUAUUUUCUGUUAAUUUAUUAUAUAUAUUUAUUAUACAAAGUCCCUGUAAAAUGACUAAAUCAUUUCAUACACAUUGGUUUAAUACAAUUCAGGAACCUCUGAAAGGUAUUGGGUGCUAAUUCCAGCGUAGUGCGACAUAAAAUGUCAUUAAAUUUAAAGCACGUCUAUACUGUAAUCCAGCCAGAUAACUUUUAGAUUGUGUGUAAAAUGUAAAGAUAAAAAUAUAUCUUAAUUUACAUUUAUGCUGCAGCGCUAUAAUGAAAGGGUCCUUUCCCAUAAAAGUUCAUUAAGAACUGCUUUGCAAAUCUUGUACAAAUUUUACGGUUUUGCUUGGUGGGCCAAAAUUCAGAGUAGGGUUUGAGGAGUCAAUACCUUUUUUUAUUUUUUAUUAAUGAACCAAUUUCCUUGAUAUUACACACAAUGAAUGCUUAACGUAUGGAGAUUUGUUUGACGAGGUACGGAAGAUGACAUAUUUUAAAUGAGCUCCAUUUGCCGCCUCGCGUGUCAGGCUCUUUGGAUUGCAUCGUUCAUAACAUUAGUUAAUGUUUGAGGCUCUAGUGAUCGUAUUUCUGCACCAAUCUUCUCCUUGAGCUGUUAAAGUGAACGCGGUUUGUUCUCGUACACCCGCUCCUUCAGAUAUCCCCACGGGAAGUAAUCAGGAGCUGAAAGGUCGGGUGAAUGUGGCGGCCAAUUAAUCUGAGAAAUUAUCCGCUCGCCAAACAGUUGUCUCAGUUUUCAAAUAAAAAAUUGCACUAUUUUUACUUGAUGUUUCUUCAUGAAAUUGACCCCGAUGAAUCUCCCAAGACUCAGUUAUAAUAUGUAUUUGCAACAAAAACAUUGAACUAUUUUCCAGUCAAAUCCUACUCAGACGUUUGACCCACCCUGUAUUUUACCUUCCAUCUUGGUAAUUGGAUGCAGACACAUUGGGUCUUGUUGUUUAGUUCUUUCUAUAAUUUAUUUUGUUUUAAGAGCGCACAUGUAUGCUUUGUUUACUCAUUGUACACCGCUGCAGAAUAGGUCGGUGCUUUACAAAUAACAAGCAUCUCUUCAAUCUCCUUACUUUGGCUCUGUCAGCGAGCUCCAAUCUACGAAAAUUUAAUUAUUAUUAGGAGUCCACGCAGCUUAAAAAACCUGGGAGUCUAAGGCAGAUUUAAUGAGGCCAGCGAUUUCGUAGGUUAAAUCCUACUGGCCACAUUGUAAAACGUGUCGCUGAUUGCCGUUAGUCAUUAGUGGCGGUAAUCCUUAUACUAAUGUAAGGUACAUGUAAUUAGAGACAAGGAGGGGAAGAUAAACACUUCGGCAUUUUAAAAUGUAACUAUUAGGAAAAUAAACCACAUCUAAUUAGACAUCGGGGGGAAUUUGAAAGGUAAGAACUAAACAAGGUUUUGGUUUUUUUGCCACCAGGGCUUUGGAGCAAUUAAAAGAAUGGGCACUGCCACUUCUUCUUAAAGGUACAGUAACAGAAAUUCCAUUAGCGCCAAACAAAUCACUGUGACACCAUGUGGCUUGUCGGUUUAACUGUACCAUCCAUUGAAUCAGACAAAGUACUCAUUAAUAAUAGUAAUAAGUCCAAUCGGGUCUCCUGAUGCAUACCUGUGCUAACCCUACCAAUUAAAUGGCAGCGGUCCGUAAUUUGUGAACCUGUCUGGUGUACGUUCCAUUGCCCAACCACAGUGCAAUAAACAUGUAAAGUUACAUCCCUUUAAACCUGUAAUUUAAAAUGGCUUCAACGGUAAAAACCCACUUAGAAAGACCAUCAAAGUAAUAAACUUUCUUUUCAUCUUACUAGCCAGAGCAAAUAAUGCUUGGACCUUCGUUAAGUUUUUAAUUAGCUAAGUGCUUUGUGUUUUAACUAAUACACAUAAUAAACACACACACACGCAGGUACACACACGCACACAAACAUCCACGCAGCGCCCCUGCCCAAAAUAGCAUGGCCCACCUGACUAAUCAUGGGCUGCUGGCUGCUAAUCUUUACGUGUGCCGAGAGGAUCCCCCAUUUUGCUUACGAUGGGUUUCACAGAUCCACAGAAGCCUAUGAUCAGGAGCCACAUUUAUAAAGGCAUUGUGCAUUGUUAACCAAAUUCAUUAGUGAAUGUUCAUUUAAAGUGGCAGAGAUUUCAAAGCAGUGAUAAUGUGCUUGUUUUUACAGGCCACACAUCCGUCAUCAGAGUGAGAUGUUUUAGCGGUAUGGAUGGCAGAUACAGGGUUAAUGAGACUACAGUGUUUGGGGAUAAUAUAUAUAUAUAUAUAUAUAUUACUGUCUAAUACAGGGGCACCAAAUCCACUCUUAAAAAUUACAUGUACCAACACAAAAACAGUCCCACCAUUCACUAUCAGAGUGCACACCGACUGCCUUACACACUAUUCAAAGCUUUCAGAACGGUGUUAGAACAAACAAAUGAAAAGAUAAAAAAAACCAGAAAUAAAUAGACUUUCAGGUCAAAGAAGUAGGAAAUACAGAGCCUCAACAAUCUUCUCCUAUUUAAUCACGGUGGUGGUCAGUGGUGGGUUUCUAUUAUAAGACAAUGAUACGGGACAGCACAUGCUCAAAGUACCACCAGGAGUGCCGCCAGUCCAGAGAAGACUCAGCCCAACUGACCAGCACAAUGACGAUGAAGGACAUGAAGAUGGUUCAGGCUGAUUUAUUUAGAAAUUAUCACACACCGAUUCGGCUUUUGAAGGACAAAGCUUGAGGAAAGCCCCUUUUGGAGCCACAAUGUUCUGUCUGAAUAAAUUUGCCCAAACCAUCUUUAUGUGCCGGGUCUUUGGUGUUCAUUGUGCGGCAUGGUUCCUAUAGGCUGUGGAGACAUCACAAGUCAUCCGAUAGGAAGGAGAAAUAUCUGCCGCUCUGUGUCUCCUGAAUGCUGACUCUCACUGAUAUGGGGAAUGAAAUAAAUGAAUGUUCCUUUAAAGCUAGCUCACCCAGGAUGACAAGGAAACCAUAAACACUGUGAUUAAAGAACAAGGUGGGGACAGGAAGAUGGAGUAAGGAAGUAAAGAGAAAUGUAAAGAAUGAAAAGAGUUAAUAGAAUGAACAAAGAAAGCAUUACACAAGCCAAGAAAGGAAGAGUGGGUGAGGGGGCAGAUAGGAGUGAUAGGUAAGAUGAAGAGGGAAGUGUGAACAUUAUGCACCCAGACCAUAUGGCUAUAGCAAGCAUGCGUUCUAACGAGCUGAGAGAGGAUUGUGGGUAAUACACCAGCUCAUUAUCAGUUCUGACACCCAAGACGAUACGCACAGCUGGGACUGUUCGAUAUGGAAAUCAGACACUGGGUCCAGCCUUACUGAGCUCAGAAGAUUUGGGAAAAGACAGAGAAAUCGGCAGAGUUUGAAAGGACAGUUCUGGAACAAAGAGGGAUUUCUGGAUGUCUUUGUGUGAAGGUUUAUGCCAUCAAUACAUUAUAAUGCCUUUCAUGUUGAAAUGUUUUUGCAUACAGAGAAUACACUAAAAUAGUGAGUGAGAAUGAAGAAUAACGCAAACAACUCUCUGGUGACUUGAUCCAUAACAGAGCUGCAACAACGGGCCAAACACAAAGACUUAACGAAAGAUGAUUUCACUACCAGCAGUGAAUUCCCAUUACAAAUAAAGAGUUAAAAUUCACAGCUCUGAGUAGUCAUGCUGUCACAAUCAAUAGAUCUCUCAAAAGUCAACUGAAUGUGCUUUUUUUUUUGUUUAGAAAAGGGACAUAAACAGGACUAGAGCAGUUAAUAAGGAGGUAAGGAGGUUACAAAUAAAAGCUUGGAGACAGGGGGAGAGAUUUAGCAGAUUUUCUUCACUUUUAACUUGAGGGUAAAGUGGAAAAUCAGUUUAGGAUUUGUCGAAGGUUAAAGAAUUCUUUUUGAUUCUACGGAUAUGUUGGGAGCGAGGAAGGGAUGCAACAGAAAGACCAGGAGAGAUAGAAUGAGAUAUUAUACAAUGAAUGAUAAGAAGAGAUUAAGGGUACAAUUAUAAUUGAGGAUGAGAAAAAAUACUAAGUGCUUAUGAAUGGGGGAAUAUCGCUGUCACAUUAAGGAAUGUGCACACAUAUAUCCCAAACUCACAGCCUCACACACCCUACAUUUAUUUACAUACAAACUGGAAAAUAAUACACCUUGUAACUGGAAUCAAAACCAAACUGAAUUUCUCAACUUGAUUCACCCAUGACUGCGUUAAAUACGAUUCGGUUACACAGUGACACAGAUUGGGGACGAAGCUUUGUUCCAGCUCUCUCUGGACCCCAGUCUGUUUCAAACGCACAUUGGGGGGUAGGGGCAGAUGCUUCACAAAGAGCCCCCAUUUCUCCAUCAGUUGAAAUCUGGAAUCUGGUUUGAAAAGUCAACGUUGGUGAUCCAGUUUGAGCCUGGGGAAUAAAUAAGACGGGGACACUGUGUACCUCAAAGUAUCGUCACACUCACAUAGCUGGAACCAUAGAGCUACUUUGAGCUCUGCCGGUUAGUACGUGGUUUAGGAGCGGAGUCUUGCAAGGGCUAAAGCAGAGGAUUCUGGGACUGAGCAGGACCGGGGGGGGUGAUGCAGUGAGAAUCUCUUUGUCCGUAUAGCUUGAUGGUCAGUCUGUCUAAGUCAGAGUGAUGUAGGCAGACGCUUUCUCCUUAAGCUGUCUCAGGCACAGAUGACAACUCCAACUACCU